UCAGCCAGUGAACCCUGUUGAUUGAGCAGGUUACACAGAGCAAAGCAGAGAUAGCACUAUAGCUAGCUAGUUGCCUUUGAAAACAAAUACUUUGUAUACUGAUUUUAAAAAAUACAAGAAAAGAAAGACUGUCCAAGGAAAGAUUAUGACCAAGAACGGAUUGAACUGAGCGAGAGACAAGACUCUUGUGAACGUCGGUUGGGCUUUUCAGUGAUGGGGAGCGCUAAUAGGGACUUCAAAAGUGACGCUGAACUUUCAGUAUUUCUGCUGGACAGGUUGACUACGCCUUGAAGCCUGAUGGUGCUUUCCCCAGAUCCACAGUCCUUCGUCCUGCGGUCCUGGGAUUGCUGUUUCGGGUUAGCCCCAGCUGCUUCACAGUGAAGAAUUAGCAGGUGUACCUGACCGGGCAGAGGGUGGGCACCAGCAGACCAGCCCCUGUGCCCUCUGAAGUACGCCCAGCACUCUGCCCAGACGGGCAGUUACUGUCCUGUGCCACAGAACUAUAUCCCCCAGAGACCGAAAGCAACAUUAUGGCAGAGAUGCACUACAUGGACCUUCUGGGGCUGAGUUGUUCUAAUGCAGAUGCAGCUGUGCACAGAUGUGCGGACUCCUGGAAUUGUUUUUUUUUUAACGUCGGAUGCGCUGGCUCUCAUUCAGGAUUCCCACGCGCAUCCAUCAGCUUCAGAUGCUGUUGCAGUGGAUGCUUUAGAACACCUGCUCAUCAUCAGCAGCACAGCACACACGGGGGGUAGAAUGUUCAUUCACAAAUCUGCAGCUUUCCCAUGCUGACAACAGCGGUUUUGGGGAGAGAUAGAUGAGACAAAUCCCCUGUUCUUUAACCUGGUAAUGACCAUUUAAUAAAAAAGGCAAAAGUAAAA